rnacentral:rRNA from 1 species
UAGGUGCUGGAGGCUAACACAUCCAGUCUAUAGGUAGCACAGGAGAGCUUGCUCUCUGGGUGACGAGCGGCGGACGGGUGAGUAAUGUCUGGGAAACUGCCUGAUGGAGGGGGAUAACUACUGGAAACGGUAGCUAAUACCGCAUGACCUCGCAAGAGCAAAGUGGGGGACCUUCGGGCCUCACGCCAUCGGAUGUGCCCAGAUGGGAUUAGCUAGUAGUGGGGUAAUGGCUCACCUAGGCGACGAUCCCUAGCUGGUCUGAGAGGAUGACCAGCCACACUGGAACUGAGACACGGUCCAGACUCCUACGGGAGGCAGCAGUGGGGAAUAUUGCACAAUGGGCGCAAGCCUGAUGCAGCCAUGCCGCGUGUGUGAAGAAGGCCUUAGGGUUGUAAAGCACUUUCAGCGAGGAGGAAGGGUUCAGUGUUAAUAGCACUGAGCAUUGACGUUACUCGCAGAAGAAGCACCGGCUAACUCCGUGCCAGCAGCCGCGGUAAUACGGAGGGUGCAAGCGUUAAUCGGAAUUACUGGGCGUAAAGCGCACGCAGGCGGUUUGUUAAGUCAGAUGUGAAAUCCCCGAGCUUAACUUGGGAACUGCAUUUGAAACUGGCAAGCUAGAGUCUUGUAGAGGGGGGUAGAAUUCCAGGUUGUAGCGGUGAAAUGCGUNGAGAUCUGGAGGAAUACCGGUGGCGAAGCGGCCCCUGGACAAGACUG